GUGACACAUUUCAUUGACUCGGAUUCCGACUAGAGUUAUCCUUCUUGCUACUGUACUCUACUAAGACGAAGGUAGCGGCACGCCUUCCACAGAACAAAAUGUUGUUGAAAUCUUCAAACUUGUUGAGUUUCUUGAC